rnacentral:ncRNA from 1 species
GGUCGUGUGAGGAGGGCUUCUUCACGGAGUGGAAACAAGGCAACACGCCCUACGAGAAGCCGAGA